GGGGACCUUCGGGGCCCUUCAAACCAUAGCCGCCCGUCGGGCGGCACACAGCUAAACGGAAGACAGACA
rfam:Sulfitobacter sp. EhC04 A4_Contig63, whole genome shotgun sequence.